UCUCUUGUGCUCGGGCACGAGCUAUGGCCAGUGAGGUUCUUACCGAGGCAUAGCCAUUUGCUAGUUGCAAACUACCCAAAUCCCACCUCUUAGCUUUGACUUUGAGGGAAUUUUUGACACUUUGAUGCCUUUCCUAUCUUUUUUAUGUGCGCAGUAACCCUAUUAUGAA
rnacentral:snRNA from 20 species